UUGCUGACGAGUGGCGGACGGGUGAGUAAUGUCUGGGAAACUGCCUGAUGGAGGGGGAUAACUACUGGAAACGGUAGCUAAUACCGCAUAACGUCGCAAGACCAAAGAGGGGGACCUUCGGGCCUCUUGCCAUCGGAUGUGCCCAGAUGGGAUUAGCUAGUAGGUGGGGUAACGGCUCACCUAGGCGACGAUCCCUAGCUGGUCUGAGAGGAUGACCAGCCACACUGGAAAGGAGAAAAGGGAAAGAAUAC
rnacentral:rRNA from 1 species